UACGUAGGGGGCGAGCGUUGUCCGGAUUCAUUGGGCGUAAAGGGUGCGUAGGCGGGUUCUUAAGUCAGAGGUGAAAUCCUGGAGCUCAACUCCAGAACUGCCUUUGAUACUGAGAGUCUUGAGUAUGACAGAGGUGAGUGGAACUGCGAGUGUAGAGGUGAAAUUCGUAGAUAUUCGCAAGAACACCAGUGGCGAAGGCGGCUCACUGGGUCAUUACUGACGCUGAGGCACGAAAGCGUGGGGAGCAAACAGG
rnacentral:rRNA from 1 species